CAUUAAGAAGCUAUAAAUCAGCGCUAGCCUUUUAAGCUAGAGAAAGAGGACCACCCACCCCCUCCUUAAUGA
rnacentral:tRNA from 1 species